CGUAGGGUGCGAGCGUUGUCCGGAAUUAUUGGGCGUAAAGGGCUCGUAGGCGGUUUGUCGCGUCGGGAGUGAAAACACUGGGCUUAACCGAGUGCUUGCUUCCGAUACGGGCAGACUUGAGGCAUUGAGGGGAGAACGGAAUUCCUGGUGUAGCGGUGAAAUGCGCAGAUAUCAGGAGGAACACCGGUGGCGAAGGCGGUUCUCUGGCAAUGUUCUGACGCUGAGGAGCGAAAGUGUGGGGAGCGAACAGGAUU
rnacentral:rRNA from 1 species